AAUUAGCCCCGAUUGAAGAAGCUACCGCGCAGCUCGAAAAGCGGGAAAAUCG
rnacentral:sRNA from 1 species